UCCCUGUGUCUGUCCUCAGGCGGCCCCAGGAGCUGGCACUGACCGUGCCGCGGCUCGGGCACAGGCUGCUCCCAGCUCUGCCUGCGGAACUUCGGCAAUUACCGACAGCAGUUCUUUGCCCUGCCAUCCAUAAGGUGCGGCUCAUCUGACACCAGCCAGACGGGGAAGGCCUUGCCUGGGAGGGAAACGGCUACAGGGGAGGAAACCAAGAAAUGCUCCAACCGGAUGGUGCUGCGCGAGUCAAAAGAGGGGCAAGACCGCGGGCAAAUACAGUCAGGAAAUGAGCUUUUAUUCAAUCUCUGCAGGAGCCCUUCGCAGCCACGGGCCGGAGGGAGCGCGGCCGGCUGGGCUGUGCCCGGCUGGGGACGGGCACCAAUUCAUCACUGCCCUGCUCAGGGAGGUUUUCCGGCCCCGUCCGGGCUUCACCCGACGGCUGCAAAGGUGCUCGUGCGGCAUCCGAGCUCAUUUCCAGGGAUAAAGGAGCCAAACGAGUCCGGAGGGAUCCCUCGCUCCGAGGCAAAGGCGUUUGGUCGAGUGUCGCCGCCUGGUCCCGCCUGCGGGGGAGCGUCUCCUCCAGGUGAGCCUUCGGAACCCAAAAUGCCGGGGGGGCUCAGGUCGGGGCCGCUUUUCGGGCCCGGAGUUGGACGGAGCCCUCGGCGGCUCCCGCUUCCCGCCAGGAACGUUCUCGGGGCUCCCUGGGCAGUCCCAGCAGGGCAGGGAACGCGGGCCGGGAGGAGGCCGGAGCGACAGACAGCGACCCAGCCCUGCUUGGGCUUCCUAUUGCCAGGGGAUGGAUGAGCUGUGCCCUGGAGCCGUGCCCUACAGCCCCCGUGGGGUGGGCACGGGGAAAGGGCUGCCCGCGGCUCCUCAGCCGGGCGCUGCUCUGAACGGGCCCCCUGAGAUGCCUCACCCUGGACACGCCCCAGCGCCAGCCCCAAAGGACCCAAAGAAUCCAGCUGGCACUCGGCAGUGUCGGCACGGCGGGGCUGCAGAGCAGCGCGGGCAGCCAUUCCCAGGGCCCACCUCCCAGAGCUCCCCCGCGCCCCCCACGUGUGUCCCGCCCGCCCCAAAUCCCUGCCCUUCCAGCCGGAGGCCAGCAGCCAGCAGCAGCCUUAAAGCCAGGGCCAUGUGCCCUCAGCGGCACUAAAUCCCGAGCAAGAGCCCUCGGAGAUGCCUGAAAAGAAAAGAGGGUGCUUGGAGAAAGUUGGGCUUGGAUGCAAUUCGCAGUUUUUCGGGGACCCAACCGCACCUGCAGAACCCGUGGACAGCUGGAACAGGUGGGUCAGAGCCGAGGUGCCCUGAAGGCAGGGCUGUGCAUCCCUUUCCUCGGGGAAAAGAACUCCCCGGGGCCGCUCCCGAGGCUCGGAAGGGACAGCGGCUUCCCGCCCGGACAGACGUCCUCGCCCGUGCUCAGGGGCUGCCUCGCCCCGGGCCGGGAGCGCGUCCGGCCCCCGCCUUCUCCUGGGCGAACACAUCCCCUGGAGCCCGGCCCGGGGCGGAAAACCGGCCCAAUUCCAGGGAGCUCGCUCAAGUCCCCCCAGGGACACCAGCGGGGCUGGGGGAGGAGGGUUAUAAACAGCAAAGUCUGUGGAAUAUCAACCUGUCCUUGUCCCGAUCCCGCUGAGCAAACCUGGAACCGUGGCUGCUUCCUGGCAAACCUGGCGUUAGAGCGGCAGCUCUGCGGGGGAACAGCCGGGCUCCAGGAGGCACUGGGAGGCUGUUCCAGCAGGAAUUCGGCAUGGAAUUGCGGGCUGUAGGUAGAAUUCAUCCAAACCUGCAAAGCUGAGACCGGCACCCAAACCUGGGCCCCCUGCAGAGAACAAUCUUUGUGCUGCCGUGUCGGCCAAAGCCGCUGCCCAACAGUCCCCUCGUUUGACUUUCUAGGUGAAUUGUGCACAAGCCAGUCCCCCAUUCCCUAUCCAGGCUGGGAGUGCUCGUGCCCUUGGCACAGAUGGCUCUGGCUGGGCAGGAACUGAGAGCAGGACGUGGGGCAGAGUGGAUCAGCUGCCCAGGGAACAUCCAGGAGAUGAAGCUACGGGAUCCUCAUUCCAAUCAAGGGAACACAUUCUGUCUCUGGCAGAAGCCGGGAGCCAAAGCAGAUCCCGCCUGGCCAGGCUGGGGGGCAGCAGUUGGAUCCACUCUGGGGGAAAGCCCCUGUGCCUGCCAGGAGCUCUGACUCUGUUUGUCCUGCCAGCUCUGACCAGUGUCAGGGCCACUGGGAGGGAUUCAGAAUCCACAGAAAUCCCAAAUCCUACUGAGGGACUCAAUCAAAGGAAGAAAGUAAUUUUUGUCAUAAAAAGCUUAAAAAAACUGUUAAAAAUUCUAGGACAGCAAUCCUGGGAUUCUCAGGAAACUUAGUAGUGCUCUUGGUUCCAUUUCAAUGGAUCUUUAGUCCGUCAAUGAGCAGCUUGGAGAACUUCCCCUGGGAUUUAGAGGCUGAGCAGGGUUUGCUUUGGAUUGCCUGGCACCUCUGGCCCCAGCUGGUGCAAACACAACUUGGGCCAAUGUGGUUAAACACACUUUCCUACAAAAACAGUUGCUGUAUCCCCUAGAAACUACCCCAAGUUUGCAGACAAAACCUUCAUCUCUGUCCCUCCUCAGUUAUCCCAGGUUUUCCAAGCUGGUUCAAACACAACUUGGGCCAAUGUGGUUAAACACACUUUCCCACACAAACAGUUGCUGUAUCCCCUAGAAAUUAGCCUAAGUCUGCAGCUAAAACCUUCAUCUCGGUCCCUCCUCAGUUAUCCCAGGUUUUCCCGGCUGGGAGCUGCAAGGAGGCUGUAAAUUGAAAGGCAGAAAGAGAAGAUCUGUCAGCAAAAGGCACAAAGAAGGGGACAGGUUUCAGAAAACAUUUCUGCAAUCUAAUGAAUAACUCUUUCCAGUUUCCCAGGGAGAAGAACAGGAACUCACAGCCACCAAGGCCUGACAGUCCCCUGCAGCCAGAGCUCAGCACACAGCCAGAGAGGCAAUUCCAGCAUCUAAAAGAAAAAAAAAGAAGAAAAAAGUGA